UCCCUGGUGGUUUAGUGGUUAGGACUGCGCUUCCACUUCAAGGGACACAGGUUCGAUUCCUGGCCGGGGAA
rnacentral:tRNA from 1 species